rnacentral:tRNA from 2 species
GGUUCGAUGGUGUAGUUGGUUAUCACGUCAGUCUAACAUUGUUAGCUCACUGAAGGUCUCCAGUUCAAGUCUGGGUCGAAUCA